AGAAGCUGUAGGUCUGUCUUCCAUUAGUAAUUACCUCGUGGGAGGGAGGCUACUUCACAAGAGACUAUUGUCCUCUGAUGUAAUAUACUGGUCCGGUGUCCUGCAGCCCCAUUAAAUUCAUGUUAUCCAUGAUGACGAUAUGCUUAUGAUUCACUAAGGAGAUUGGCUGAAUGUUGUUCCCAUCCCUGGACCUUCUCCUUCUCCUUUCCACUGAGAGCAACCUCGGGCAUCAGUGGAUACAGAGCCUGUGGCCUUACUGAGGAUGUGGCUGGACCCUGGGAGUUUGCAGUGUGUGCUGAGACUUGAUUAGGCCUCAGGAAUGAAUCUAAAAGCCUCCCUGGAGAGCAGAAGGCACUGGACAGUGGUUGCUGCCAUGCAGAUGAAGAAGGCCGUGAUUCAAUGGCAUUUCACUCACUGAAGCUAAUGAGCUCUUCCUGUCCCCACACUGACCACAGGAUAUCAGUAGAUGAGGAGAUGAAUCUAAGCCUAAGAAAGGACCAGCAGCAGCAUAAGACUUUCCUGACACAGCUGACUGG